rnacentral:rRNA from 1 species
GAGUUUGAUCGUGGCUCAGGAUGAACGCUGGCGGCGUGCUUAACACAUGCAAGUCGAGCGAAGCGCUUUUGCGGAUUUCUUCGGAUUGAAGCAACUGUGACUGAGCGGCGGACGGGUGAGUAACGCGUGGGUGACCUGCCCCAUACCGGGGGAUAACAGCUGGAAACGGCUGCUAAUACCGCAUAAGCGCACAGAGCUGCAUGGCUCGGUGUGAAAAACUCCGGUGGUAUGGGAUGGGCCCGCGUCUGAUUAGGCAGUUGGCGGGUAACGGCCCACCAAACCGACGAUCAGUAGCCGGCCUGAGAGGGCGACCGGCCACAUUGGGACUGAGACACGGCCCAAACUCCUACGGGAGGCAGCAGUGGGGAAUAUUGCACAAUGGGGGAAACCCUGAUGCAGCGACGCCGCGUGAGCGAAGAAGUAUUUCGGUAUGUAAAGCUCUAUCAGCA